rnacentral:misc_RNA from 1 species
CCGAGUUAGGGUCCCCUGGGCCCGACCUCCCACCCUUUGUCUACCUUACCUCUUGUUGCUUCGGCGGAUCCGUCCCUCAGGGGACCGCCGGAGGGCCGUCAAAACGCUCUCUGGCCCGCAUCCGUCGAUGGCCUAUUACAAAACUCUUGCUUAAACAUGUCGUCUGAGUCUUAAACAAAAUAAAAUAAA